UAAUUCUUAUAUAUUUACAAAUGUUUUGGGAGGGCUAAUUUUGUCUUUUAAUAAUAAACUUAAAGUAUUUAUGAAAUAUGAUAAUAAUUUAAAGGUAAAUUUUAAAAAUAAUAUCAAAUAUGAAGUAAAAUUAAAAUUUGUUGGAAUUAUGUUAGUUACUGUAACAUUAAACAAGUAUGAUAAAUGUGGGUUCUCCUCGUAUAGAAUAGUGUUGGAAUAUUAUUAAUCUUUGUGACAUAUAUAUAUGUCAUUCAUGCUAUGACAUUAGCAUGCAUAUAGACACUACAAGAAAACACGCUGAAUUCCGACGGAGAUUCCGACGGACAUCAAUG
rnacentral:lncRNA from 1 species